UACGGGGGGGGUAAGCGUUGUUCGGAAUUACUGGGCGUAAAGCGUGCGCAGGCGGUUGAUGUAAGACAGGUGUGAAAUCCCCGGGCUUAACCUGGGAACUGCAUUUGUGACUGCAUCGCUGGAGUGCGGCAGAGGGGGAUGGAAUUCCGCGUGUAGCAGUGAAAUGCGUAGAUAUGCGGAGGAACACCGAUGGCGAAGGCAAUCCCCUGGGCCUGCACUGACGCUCAUGCACGAAAGCGUGGGGAGCAAACAGG
rnacentral:rRNA from 1 species